UGAACGCUAGCGGCAGGCUUAACACAUGACAAGGUCGGAGGGGCAGCAUAAUGAAGUAGCAAUACGGAAUUGAUGGCGACCGGCGCACGGGUGCGUAACGCGUAUGUAACCUACCUCUAACGAGGGGGAUAACACUGAGAAAUUGGUACUAAUACCCCAUAACACUUGAUAGGGCAUCCUAUUGAGUUGAAAGUUCCGGCGGUUAGAGAUGGACAUGCGUUGUAUUAGCUAGAUGGUGAGGUAACGGCUCACCAUGGCGACGAUACAUAGGGGGACUGAGAGGUUAACCCCCCACACUGGUACUGAGACACGGACCAGACUCCUACGGGAGGCAGCAGUGAGGAAUAUUGGUCAAUGGACGCAAGUCUGAACCAGCCAUGCCGCGUGCAGGAUGACGGCUCUAUGAGUUGUAAACUGCUUUUGUACAAGGAUAAACCCCGAUACGUGUAUCGGGCUGAAAGUACUGUACGAAUAAGGAUCGGCUAACUCCGUG
rnacentral:rRNA from 1 species